UCUUGCGGGUCGGAACCGUGAAACGCUCACCCCUACCUGUAGAUAAACAAGAAGCAUCCCGGCAUCCCGCACACGACUGCAUCGCAUCACAGCAUAUUCCCCCAAUUCCCUCAUUUUUAGGGCUCAGAUUCCCCAAACAUUCAAACAACUUUCAGCUUCAACAAUCACUCAAAUUCCAAUCAAUGGCGACUCCUGAUGUUCUCCCGCAAGAUCAUUUCUCAUCAUCUUCAUUCGAUCACACCAAAGGCGAUGCGAAAUCACGUGGAUUGGCGCUCGAGAAGAAGAUUGAAUACCUCGAGAGCUUGAACGA